AGAAGCUCCCUUCAAAGAAAACAACUGUGAAGCACAAAAACUUGAACCCUGAAUGGAAUGAGGAAUUUAACAUUGUUGUGAAAGACCCAGAAUCCCAAGCCUUAGAGAUUAUUGUUUAUGACUGGGAACAGGUUGGCAAACAUGACAAGAUNNNNNNNNNNNNNGAGCUGACCCCUGAUGAGCCAAAAGUUAUGACACUUAAUCUGCUAAAAAAUAUGGACCCAAAUGAUGCUGAAAAUGAGAAACAACGUGGGCAGCUUAUAGUGGAACUGGAAUACAAACCUUUCAAGGAAGACAAUAUACCUAAUGAUAUUGA
rnacentral:misc_RNA from 1 species